rnacentral:rRNA from 1 species
CAAGACCUUGCGCCGAUGGAUGAGCCGAAGUCGGAUUAGCUAGUUGGUAGGGUAACGGCCUACCAAGGCGACGAUCCGUAGCUGGUCUGAGAGGACGACCAGCCACACUGGGACUGAGACACGGCCCAGACUCCUACGGGAGGCAGCAGUGGGGAAUUUUGGACAAUGGGGGCAACCCUGAUCCAGCAAUGCCGCGUGUGUGAAGAAGGCCUUCGGGUUGUAAAGCACUUUUGUCAGGAACGAAACGGACUAGGCUAAUACCUUGGUCUAAUGACGGUACCUGAAGAAUAAGCACCGGCUAACUACGUGCCAGCAGCCGCGGUAAUACGUAGGGUGCAAGCGUUAAUCGGAAUUACUGGGCGUAAAGCGUGCGCAGGCGGUUUUGUAAGUCUGACGUGAAAUCCCCGGGCUUAACCUGGGAAUG